GACCAACUAAGUUAGUUCUUGGUAUAAGCUUUCGUGUGCAAGCACACUUCUUCAGAUACAUACUGUGUAUCUGAAGAAGUGUGCUUGCACACGAAAGCUUAUACCAAGAACUAACUUAGUUGG